UACGAGGGGGGCAAGCGUUGUUCGGAAUUAUUGGGCGUAAAGGGUGCGUAGGCGGUCUGAUAAGUCAUCUGUGAAAUCUAUGGGCUCAACCCAUAGUCUGCAGGCGAAACUGUCGGGCUUGAGUAUGGGAGAGGUGAGUGGAAUUUCCGGUGUAGCGGUGAAAUGCGUAGAUAUCGGAAGGAACACCUGUGGCGAAAGCGGCUCACUGGACCAUUACUGACACUGAGGCACGAAAGCUAGGGGAGCAAACAGG
rnacentral:rRNA from 1 species